rnacentral:rRNA from 1 species
CAAUAUGGCCCAAAUACUCUUAAGACACCAGGUCCUAUCUGAUCUUAGAAGCUAAGCAGGGCCAGCCUUUGUUAGUACUUGGAUGGGAGGCAAAGGAAGCAGGUGCUGUAGGUU